UAGUUGGUGGGGUAAAGGCCUACCAAGGCGACGAUCAGUAGCGGGUCUGAGAGGAUGAUCCGCCACACUGGGACUGAGACACGGCCCAGACUCCUACGGGAGGCAGCAGUGGGGAAUUUUGGACAAUGGGGGCAACCCUGAUCCAGCCAUUCCGCGUGAGUGAAGAGGCCUUCGGGUUGUAAAGCUCUUUCAGCUGGAACGAAACGGUACAUCCUAAUACGGUGUGCUAAUGACGGUACCAGCAGAAGAAGCACCGGCUAACUACGUGCCAGCAGCCGCGGUAAUACGUAGGGUGCGAGCGUUAAUCGGAAUUACUGGGCGUAAAGCGUGCGCAGGCGGAUUGUUAAGCAAGAUGUGAAAUCCCCGGGCUUAACCUGGGAAUGGCAUUUUGAACUGGCAGUCUAGAGUGCGUCAGAGGGGGGUGGAAUUCCACGUGUAGCAGUGAAAUGCGUAGAGAUGUGGAGGAACACCAAUGGCGAAGGCAGCCCCCUGGGAUGACACUGACGCUCAUGUACGAAAGCGUGGGUAGCAAACAGGAUUAGAUACCCUGGUAGUCCACGCCCUAAACGAUGUCAACUGGUUGUUGGGGGAGUGAAAUCCCUUAGUAACGAAGCUAACGCGUGAAGUUGACCGCCUGGGGAGUACGGUCGCAAGAUUAAAACUCAAAGGAAUUGACGGGGACCCGCACAAGCGGUGGAUGAUGUGGAUUAAUUCGAUGCAACGCGAAAAACCUUACCUACCCUUGACAUGUCCAGAACCCUGCAGAGAUGCGGGGGUGCCCGAAAGGGAAUUGGAACACAGGUGCUGCAUGGCUGUCGUCAGCUCGUGUCGUGAGAUGUUGGGUUAAGUCCCGCAACGAGCGCAACCCUUAUCAUUAGUUGCUACGCAAGGGCACUCUAAUGAGACUGCCGG
rnacentral:rRNA from 1 species